rnacentral:rRNA from 1 species
CUGCGGAGGGAUCAUUACACAAAUAUGAAGGCGGGCUGGAACCUCUCGGGGUUACAGCCUUGCUGAAUUAUUCACCCUUGUCUUUUGCGUACUUCUUGUUUCCUUGGUGGGUUCGCCCACCACUAGGACAAACAUAAACCUUUUGUAAUUGCAAUCAGCGUCAGUAACAAAUUAAUAAUUACAACUUUCAACAACGGAUCUCUUGGUUCUGGCAUCGAUGAAGAACGCAGCGAAAUGCGAUAAGUAGUGUGAAUUGCAGAAUUCAGUGAAUCAUCGAAUCUUUGAACGCACAUUGCGCCCUUUGGUAUUCCAAAGGGCAUGCCUGUUCGAGCGUCAUUUGUACCCUCAAGCUUUGCUUGGUGUUGGGCGUCUUGUCUCUAGCUUUGCUGGAGACUCGCCUUAAAGUAAUUGGCAGCCGGCCUACUGGUUUCGGAGCGCAGCACAAGUCGCACUCUCUAUCAGCAAAGGUCUAGCAUCCACUAAGCCUUUUUUUCAACUUUUGACCUCGGAUCAGGUAGGGAUACCCGCUGAACUUAAGCAUAUCAUA